rnacentral:misc_RNA from 1 species
GAUGAAGAACGUAGCGAAAUGCGAUAAGUAAUGUGAAUUGCAGAAUUCAGUGAAUCAUCGAAUCUUUGAACGCGCAUUGCGCCCGUCAGUAUUCUGGCGGGCAUGCCUGUUCGAGCGUCAUUACGCCCCUCAAGUCCCCUGUGGACUUGGUGUUGGGGAUCGGCGAGGCUGGUUUUCCAGCACAGCCGUCCCUUAAAUUAAUUGGCGGUCUCGCCGUGGCCCUCCUCUGCGCAGUAGUAAAACACUCGCUACAGGAGCCCGGCGCGGUCCACUGCCGUAAAACCCCCCAACUUUUUAUAGUUGACCUCGAAUCAGGUAGGACUACCCGCUGAACUUAAGCAUAUCAAUAAGCGGAGGA